GACGAACGCUGGCGGCGUGCUUAACACAUGCAAGUCGAGCGGAAAGGCCCUGCUUUUGUGGGGUGCUCGAGUGGCGAACGGGUGAGUAACACGUGAGUAACCUGCCCUUGACUUUGGGAUAACUUCAGGAAACUGGGGCUAAUACCGGAUAGGAGCUCCUGCUGCAUGGUGGGGGUUGGAAAGUUUCGGCGGCUGGGGAUGGACUCGCGGCUUAUCAGCUUGUUGGUGGGGUAGUGGCUUACCAAGGCUUUGACGGGUAGCCGGCCUGAGAGGGUGACCGGCCACAUUGGGACUGAGAUACGGCCCAGACUCCUACGGGAGGCAGCAGUGGGGAAUAUUGCACAAUGGGCGGAAGCCUGAUGCAGCAACGCCGCGUGCGGGAUGACGGCCUUCGGGUUGUAAACCGCUUUCGCCUGUGACGAAGCGUGAGUGACGGUAAUGGGUAAAGAAGCACCGGCUAACUACGUG
rnacentral:rRNA from 1 species